CCGUGGUCAACGCCGGACGCGUCAGGGGCCCCGCUAGCCCGAGCCUCUGCCGGGGGCAGCUGCCCCCACGCACUUUCUCCUGCUGUGCGCAGGCGCCGCCGCUCCGCGCUCUUUGCCGGCUGGGAAGAGAAGGGUCGCGGACAACUCACCUAUCGCCGGAGGAGGAUUCCUGCCGCCUGCGGGCGCCACGGGCAGCCCGAGGCCGGAGCGGCAGUGCCAGGCAGUCAGCAGGCAGCAGACGAGUGCGCGCACCAGCGCCAUGGAGGGCCGCGGGGCUGACCUGGAGGUUCGGGCUGUCCCGCAGCUCCACUCGGACCGUCAGGCCUGAGGGUGAGGCGGAGACAGAAGACGGCUGCGGGUGUAGACGUCCGACUGAUCACGUGCAAAGGCAGAUUCCGCAGCGAGUCAGUUCGCCUGACCUUCAGCUGCUGUUUAGCGAUGAUCUGUUCUCGUAUUUCUUAGCGUCAGUGUUUGGCCUAGGAAGGAAUGUACUUGUAGAAGCUCAAAUUCCGACUCGUGUAUCAGUGGUGCAGUUGAUGUCAAACACUGACAUACUGGUGCUUGGGGAUAGAGAAAGACAUUCAAUUUAGUAAAAGCCAGAAGGAGGGAGAACAAGAUCUCUCAAAUCCGUGUGUAAAAAGGAAAAAGCAGGGAGUUUUUAUUCUGCUAGAGAAUAAGAGAGGGGGAUUUUCAAAGAAUCCAGGGGAAAAGUCUGUUUCUUCAGUCUCAGAUAACACCUUUGAGCAAUUAGACGUCCAGGCAUCCGCAGCUGGUUGCAAAGCCCUUGGAGGUAUUCAUCCCUUCUGCAAACAUUUUUGUGACCCUGAAGUUAACCUCUUUGUUCUUGACGAGGAAGCAGUACCUCAGCAGUUUAUAAUUAUAUUGUGGAAACAAGGAGAAUAUUGGGCAAAAAGCGAGUGGUUAAAAUGUGCAAGCAAGCAGGAGCCUGAUCAGAAUUUUCAUUAUUUCAGUCACUAAAAAAUGCUGGGGUGCUGAAAUCUCAACGAUCCCGGUUCCAUUCUUGGGCCAACCUACCCCAGCUUUAAUGGGUAGGGCUCCUCAGUAGAGGUGAUGCAGAGAGCCCUGAAGUAUCAUGAUUUGAAGGAAAUCAGCAAAAGUUAUGGAUACUGCAGUGGAUCUCGAAUUGAAGUCUCUGAACUGGGAACAUUAGCACCACCUGGGAACUCUAGUUAGAAAUGCAAAUUCCCAGGCACCACCCUAGACCUGUUGAGUCAGAAACCUGCUGGAGCCCAGCAGUUUGUGUUUUCACAAGCAUUUCAGGUCAUGUUAAAGUGAUUGUGAUGUUUGAAAACCAAUGCUCAAAGAUACGACGUUUUGUUUUUUGUUUUUUUUAAACUGCCGGGAAGAGAAGGGUCUUAGAAUUAGAACAUGUUCUGAAAUCAUGCUUUAUGCAUUCCAGAGAUGCAUGGAAAUCAUAAGUAGAGGUGGUUGAUUUGAUGCUUCCACGGAACUUUUUUGAAUAUACUUCUGGCAAAGAAGUAAGUCUAUACAAAGAAGUAAGCAAAGAUAAGUCUGGCAAAGAAGUAAGUCUAUACAAAGAAGUAAGCAAAGAUAAGUCUGGCAAAGAAGCCAGAAUCCCGAAACUGUGCUGGAUCCUGUAUUCUGUGUUCCUUCUCUCACCGUUUAUGAGGAUGCUGAUCUCUUGGAGAUGACAAGCUAAUAAUUUAAAUUUAUAGGGCGUGGAAUUCCUUUGCAGAAGAAAAUGCUUUCCAUAAUUACUAACCUCAAAAAAGAUGUUGUAGAGUGUAUUUCUUUCCCAGCAUAGAAAGCUUUGUUUUGUAUCCCAUGUAAUUUAAUGGGAGUGUGUGUCAUGAAACGGGCUUUGAAGUGGGAAGCAAGGUGCUUCCAUUUUCUGUUUUGUAAACCAAAAAUAAAAUUUGAAGGCCCCCCACAACCAUCUGAAUGGACGACCAUCUGUAUGGACUCUUUCCCCAGUCAGGGCACUCUAAAAUUUAACCUGAAAGACUGGUUCAGGCCAUGAAAAAGGGGAUGGGGGGGUUGGACAUGCGUAAUUAACAUCAACAUAGACCAUAAGUCUGAUAAGAAACAUUUAAGAUCUGUUUUCUCUAAAGCCUGCUACGUGGAGGCUUCGUCUGUGUGACAAAAUCUGGGUCUAACAACCCCUUAUCAUAACCCAGACAUCCUUUCUAUUGAUAAUAACUUUUUCAAUCAACCAAUUGCCAAUCAGGACAUGUUUAAAUCUUCCUGUGAUCUGGAAACACCCACCCCCCGCCCAGCUUCAAGUUGUCCUGCCCGUCUAGAUCGAACCAAUGUAAAAAUCUUACAUGUAUUGAUUGCUGUAUCAUGUCUCCCUAAAAUGUAUAAAAGCAAGCUGUAUCCUGACCACCUUGGGCACAUGUCAAGACCUCCUGAGGCUGUGUCACUGGC
rnacentral:lncRNA from 1 species